AUUAACAAAAAUCCUUUUAUUUUUCUUUUAUAGUUUUAAUAUUUGAGUUUAAACACUGCGCAACGGUCAUAUGUAUAGUUUAACUAAAAGCCGCAAGAAGACGCGAUAAUCGCAUGAAAUACAAGACCUAGCAAAACAUUGUAACAUCAAAAACCUCUGUAGCGCAGGUCCAUAAUGUUGUUUCCGUUGAAAGGAUAAAAUUAUAGCUACAGUAAAUGUUGUGAAAAAUAUACAUUGUUUAAUAUUGUGUGUGUUAAGUGUAUAAUAUAAUUGUUACAAAACAUUUGCAAAUCAUUAUUAUUACUGAUUUCAGGAACUAUAUACAUUGAUUAUUUUAAAUAAUAAUAUCAAAUUUAUUAUUGAAAGAUUAAUGUUUAAUGUGCAUCGAAGAAUAUUAUCAUCGGAUACAAAAAAAUAUUUAAAAAAUAUAACGUGUGUGACAAAUGUCGAAUCGUAAUGAACUGCGCAACGAUAUAGGUGUGGCGCGUAAAAGAGAGAGCGUACAUGCAUGUAUACGUAGCAUACGUGCAAUACGUGCUCCCUUGGAAUGAAGACAACAAAGAAUUGGAUUAACUUUCCCCUGUUACGUUUAUAUUCAAAAAACCAAUCGAUUGCUUCCAUACAGUGUUAAAUAUAAUUUAAUUUUGCUGAAUAUAAUUUUAUAUGUAUAUAUAAACAAGGUAUUCGUUUUUGAAAUCGAAAUAAAUCCUGUGCCGAUCUUGAAAUAAAUAUCUGUGGUGUUAAAAACAUCGUGUGGGUGCGUGUGCGUACUCGUGCCCGUGCCUGCGCCUAUGCGUCUCCGUUCGCCAAGUUGUAGUGAUCUUCGCAAAGGUAGUGGCGGUGGUAGAAACAGUGAAGGUGGUGGUGGCGGCGGCAACAGCAACAGCAGUGGUAGUGAAGGAGACAGUGGAGGUGGUGGCGGUGGUGGCGGCGGCGGCCGCGACAGCGUUUGGAGGGAGAAAUUUCGUAUAUCGUGACUGAGUUAGUGCGUGUACGUGCUACCGCGCGUAUAUGUUUUCUCAUUCUCAAGAUUGUGCGCGCGUGUAUUGUAUAUGUAUGUAUGUAUAUUGUCGCGCGCGCGCAUUAACGGAAUUCACGAUCAGACACGCAGGGACUCUCAACAAAUGUUUAAAUGGACGCAUCGUCCAUUAUCACGCAAGUGUCGCGGGAUGACGAGCUAGGCCAGUUUAAUAAUGGGAAAGCUCAAUUACCACAAGAAAAUGAAGUGGCCAACAACAAUCCAGCCAGUGGCAAAAAGCCAAGAGGGCGUGGACUUCUGCGGUCUCUACUUUGUUGUCUUGGUAGAGGACGUGGAAGUAGUUCAAAAAGUUCAAAAACAAGUUCAUUGCAAGGUGAUGGACAUGGUUCUCCAUCCCUGAGGACUGGAUCCCCAAGGUUCCUUCUCCCACCUGUCAGACAUCAGGAUAUGCACAAGAAGUGCAUGGUGAUUGAUUUGGAUGAAACACUAGUGCAUAGUUCUUUCAAACCAAUCAACAAUGCCGAUUUUGUUGUUCCUGUAGAAAUUGAUGGGACAGUACAUCAAGUAUAUGUUUUAAAGAGGCCUUAUGUGGAUGAAUUCUUACAGAGAAUGGGUGAACUUUACGAGUGUGUAUUGUUCACUGCAAGUUUGGCUAAGUAUGCUGAUCCAGUAGCAGAUUUGCUUGACAGAUGGGGCGUAUUUAGAGCAAGACUGUUUAGAGAAUCUUGUGUUUAUCACAGAGGAAAUUAUGUUAAAGAUUUAAAUAAACUAGGACGGGAUUUACAACAAAUCAUUAUUGUUGAUAAUAGUCCUGCCAGUUACAUUUUCCAUCCAGAUAAUGCAGUACCAGUGGCAUCAUGGUUUGAUGAUAUGACAGAUUCAGAAUUAUUAGAUUUAAUUCCAUUUUUUGAAAAGCUUAGUAAUGUGGAGAAUAUUUACACAGUCUUGUGCAAUAGUAAUCAUCCUUAUAAUCAAGUACCUUCGGCUGUACAAAAUAGUCCAAGCCCAGGGUCAGGUUCACUUGGUGCUUCCUAGCCCUACCUAAAUUCUAGCCAAAUAGUCAGUAUUGUCAUCGCUCAAUGCACUCUGAGGAGAAUUUUAAUUGGAAUAUUCCACAUUGCUUACUUGUUAUGUAGCAAUGGACAACCAGUACUUUUUUCUGAGAAAUAAUGAUAUAAUAUGAUUGUUCGCAGUAUAUCAAAAACAAUGAACUGAUUUUAUUUAUCUAAUUGUUAAGGUAUAGUUGAUAAAAAGUUUAGAAAUAUUAAUUAGUUAUAUACUAAUUGGUUAUAUAACAAGAUAUU